rnacentral:rRNA from 1 species
UAGUUGGUAGGGUAAAGGCCUACCAAGGCGAAGACGGGUAGCUGGUCUGAGAGGACGAUCAGCCACAAUGGCACUGAAACACGGGCCAUACUCCUACGGGAGGCAGCAGUGAGGAAUAUUGCACAAUCGACGCAAGUCGGAUGCAGCAACGCCGCGUGGACGAUGAAGGCCUUCGGGUUGUAAAGUCCUUUUAAGAGGGACGAGGAAGGACGGUACCUCUUGAAUAAGUCUCGGCUAACUACGUGCCAGCAGCCGCGGUAACACGUAGGAGGCGAGCGUUAUCCGGAUUUAUUGGGCGUAAAGCGCAUGCAGGUGGCUAGGUAAGUCGGGUGUGAAAGCCCCGGACUUAAUCCGGGGAGGUCAUUCGAUACUGCUUGGCUUGAGAGCGGGAGAGGGAAGUGGAAUUCUCGGUGUAGUGGUGAUAUGCGUAGAUAUCGAGAGGAACACCAGUGGCGAAGGCGGCUUCCUGGCCCGUAUCUGACACUAAGAUGCGAAAGCGUGGGUAGCAAACGGACUUAGAUACUCCGGUAGUCCACGCUGUAAACGAUGGGUACUAGGUGUAGGGGGUGUAAAACUCUCUGUGCCAUAGUUAACGCACUGAGUACCCCGCCUGGGGACUACGGUCGCAAGGCUAAAACUCAAAGGAAUUGACGGGGGCCCGCACAAGCAGCGGAGCGUGUGGUUCAAUUCGAAGAUACACGAAGAACCUUACCUGGGCUUGACAUGUUGGUAGUAGUGAAGCGAAAGCGGAACGAUCCUUCGGGAAGCCAUCACAGGUGCUGCAUGGCUGUCGUCAGCUCGUGCCGUGAGGUGUUGGGUUAAGUCCUGUAACGAGCGCAACCCUCGCUGCCAGUUACAAGUGUCUGGCGGGACUGCCGGUGACAAACCGGAGGAAGGUGGGGAUGACGUCAAGUCAGCAUGGCCUUUAUGUCCAGGGCUACACACACGCUACAAUGGCCGGUACAAUAGGUUGCCAAGUCGUGAGGCGGAGCUAAUCCUCAAAACCGGUCUCAGUUCGAAUUGCAGGCUGCAACCCGCCUGCAUGAAGUUGGAGUUGCUAGUAAACGCGCGUCAGCAAUAGUGCGUUGAAUACGUUCCCGGGCCUUGUACACACCGCCCGUCACGUCAUGGGAGU